rnacentral:SRP_RNA from 1 species
GCCAGGUGUAGUGGCACGUGCCUGUACUCCCAGCUACUUGGGAGGCUGAGGCGGGAGGGUUGCUUGAGCCUGUGCUUUGCUGAUUGGGUGUCCACACUAAGUUCUACAUCAACAUGAUGACCUCCUAGGAGCAGGGGACCAUAAGGUUGCCUAGUGAGGGGUGAAUUGGGCCAGGUCAGAAACAGAGCAGGUCAAAAUUCCUGUGCUGAUCUGUAGUGGGAUCCUGCCUGUGAAUAGCCACUGCCUUUCAGCCUGGACAACACAGUGAAACCCUGUCUCU